rnacentral:rRNA from 1 species
CCUACGGGUGGCAGCAGUAGGGAAUCUUCCACAAUGGACGAAAGCCUGAUGGAGCAACGCCGCGUGAGUGAAGAAGGGUUUCGGCUCGUAAAGCUCUGUUGGUAGUGAAGAAAGAUAGAGGUAGUAACUGGCCUUUAUUUGACGGUAAUUACUUAGAAAGUCACGGCUAACUACGUGCCAGCAGCCGCGGUAAUACGUAGGUGGCAAGCGUUGUCCGGAUUUAUUGGGCGGAAAGCGAGCGCAGGCGGUUCAAUAAGUCUGAUGUGAAAGCCUUCGGCCCAACCGGGGAAUGGCAUGAGAAACUGGUGAACUUGAGUGCAGAAGAGGAAAGUGGAAGUCCAUGUGUAGCGGUGGAAUGCGCAGAUAUAUGGAAGAACACCAGUGGCGAAGGCGGCUCUCUGGUCUGCAACUGACGCUGAGGCGCGAAAGCAUGGGUAGCGAACAGGAUUAGAUACCCGAGUAGUC